GAUGAACGCUAGCUACAGGCUUAACACAUGCAAGUCGAGGGGUAACGAGAGGAAAGCUUGCUUUCCUUGUCGACGACCGGCGCACGGGUGAGUAACGCGUAUCCAACCUGCCCCCAACUAAGGAAUAACCUUGCGAAAGUAAGACUAAUACCUUAUAAUUUCCUCAGAUGUCAUCUGACGAGGAAUAAAGAUUUAUCGGUUGUGGAUGGGGAUGCGUCAGAUUAGCUUGUUGGCGGGGUAACGGCCCACCAAGGCAACGAUCAGUAGGGGUUCUGAGAGCAAGGUCCCCCACAUUGGAACUGGGACACGGUCCAAACUCCUACGGGAGGCAGCAGUGAGGAAUAUUGGUCAAUGGGCGAAAGCCUGAACCAGCCAAGUAGCGUGCAGGAUGACGGCCCUAUGGGUUGUAAACUGCUUUUAUACAGGAAUAAAGUUAGCCACGUGUGGUUAUUUGUAGGUACUGUAUGAAUAAGGACCGGCUAAUUCCGUGCCAGCAGCCGCCGUAA
rnacentral:rRNA from 1 species